UACGGAGGGUGCAAGCGUUAUCCGGAUUCACUGGGUUUAAAGGGUGCGUAGGUGGGCCUGUAAGUCAGUGGUGAAAUCUCCGGGCUUAACCCGGAAACUGCCAUUGAUACUAUAGGUCUUGAAUUUUCUGGAGGUCAGCGGAAUAUGUCAUGUAGCGGUGAAAUGCUUAGAUAUGACAUAGAACACCGAUUGCGAAGGCAGCUGACUACGGGAACAUUGACACUGAGGCACGAAAGCGUGGGGAUCAAACAGG
rnacentral:rRNA from 1 species